AAUAUUGGACAAUGGGGGCAACCUUGACCCAGCCAUGCCGCGUGUGUGAAGAAGGACUNCGGAUUNUNAAGCACUUCAAGGUGGGNGGAAGGGCCGUAGGUUAAUACCCUGAAGCUUGGACGUUACGAACAGAAUAAGCACCGGCUAACUCUGGGCCAGCAGCUGCGGUAAUACAGAGGGUGCAAGCGUUAAUCGGAAUUACUGGGCGUAAAGCGCGCGUAGGUGGUUCAGUAAGAUGGGUGUGAACUCCCCGGGCUUAACCUGGGAACUGCUUUCAUAACUGCUGUGCUAGAAUACGGUAGGGGGUAGUGGAAUUUCCUGUGUAGCGGUGAAAUGCGUAGAUAUAGGAAGGAACACCAGUGGCGAAGGCGACUACCUGGACUGAUACUGACACUGAGGUGCGAAAGCGUGGGGGGCAAACAG
rnacentral:rRNA from 1 species